rnacentral:rRNA from 1 species
UUGUGCCAGCCGCCGCGGUAAAACCAGCACCUCGAGUGGUCAGGAGGUUUAUUGGGCCUAAAGCAUCCGUAGCCGGUUGUUUAAGUUUUCGGUUAAAUCUAUGCGCUUAACGUAUGGGCUGCCGAAAAUACUGGACAGCUAGGGAAUGGGAGAGGUACACGGUACUCGAUAGGAAGGGGUAAAAUCCUUUGAUCUAUUGAUGACCACCUGUGGCGAAGGCGGUGUACCAGAACACGUUCGACGGUGAGGGAUGAAAGCUGGGGGAGCAAACCGGAUUAGAUACCCGGGUAGUCCCAGCUGUAAACGAUGCAAACUCGGUGAUGCAUUGGCUUGUGGCCAAUGCAGUGCCGCAGGGAAGCCGUUAAGUUUGCCGCCUGGGAAGUACGUACGCAAGUAUGAAACUUAAAGGAAUUGGCGGGGGAGCACCACAAGGGGUGAAGCCUGCGGUUCAAUUGGAGUCGACGCCAGAAACCUUACCCGGGGCGACAGCAGAAUGAAGGUCAAGCUGAAGACUUUACCAGACAAGCUGAGAGGUGGUGCAUGGCCGUCGCCAGCUCGUGCCGUGAGAUGUCCUGUUAAGUCAGGUAACGAGCGAGACCCCUGCGUCUAGUUGCUACCAUUCCUCUCUGGAGUAGUGGAGCGAAUUAGACGGACCGCCACAGUUAAUGUGGAGGAAGGAAGGGGCCACGGCAGGUCAGUAUGCCCCGAAACCCUGGGGCCACACGCGGGCUGCAAUGGUAUUGACAAUGUGUUCCGAACCCGAAAGGGGGAGGCAAUCAUCA